UUUUGGCCCGCAUCAAAUUUUAAUUUAUCUUUCCACGUCAGUUUUUUCCCCAACCCUAAUUCCUCCUUUGUCAACUUUUUUUCCGCUUCCUCCUUCGUCGCAACGCAGCCGCCGAAGAGUCCUCCUUCCUCCUUCGUCGAAGAGUCCUCCUUCCUCCUUUGUCGCGACGCACCCGCCGCGAGGAAAACCCACCGGCGCCUUCCCUCGUCGUGCCCCCUGCGAUUCCUCGCCGCCGAGCCCGAAGCUAGGGUUCCGCCCCUUCCUCCUUCGUCGCCACGCAAUCGCCGAAGAGGACAUCAUGCCCCUCGCAGGUCCACGUCAAAUUUUUUGGCCCGCAUCAAAUUUUAAUUUAUCUUUCCGCAUCAUUUUUUUCCCAGCCCUAACUUCCCUCCUUCGUCGCGAAGCACUCCUUCCUCCUUCGUCGCGACGCACCCGCCGAAGAGGAUAACCCACAGGCGCCUUCCUCCUUCGUCGCGAAACAUCUAAGGUUCCUGAUCAGCAAAGCGACGGUUGCGCUUGAAUGGCAUCAUCAAGUAGCAGCAGUAUCAACCAUACCAAAAAUGAAACUGUACGAUGCAGGGACUGCGGACUAAGAGCAUUGGUGCUAGUCUCUAGAUCGAUCAAGAACCCAGGAAGACUAUAUUAUGGAUGUAAGCAUCAUGGAUAGUUAAAGUGGGUGAGGUCUGAUAUUGGACUAAAUGAAGACACUAAUGAUAUACAUUUUAGGAUGUUGCCAAGAGUGGAGUCAAGGGUGGGAAGUGAACACAUUACUUAUCCUAGACACAAUAUGAGAAAUUGGAAUAUACCGCUUUUGGUAUGGAUAUUAGUGAUAGUGAACUUAAUUCUUUUGGCUAUAUAUUUGUUUUGUUUGUUGGUUGGCCUAGUCAAAUAGUACUAGUGUUGUAAUAUGAUAAAGAAAUGUAAUUAUGGAUGAUGUCGACAUUUGUUUUUUUUAUUUAUGGAUGAAUAUUAAUUUUGUGUUUUGAUUA